UUAUGGCCACAUCACGUUGAAACAUUAGUUCCCGUACAAUCACAGAAGUUAAGCAACGUCGAGCCUGGUCAGUACCUAUAUGGGUAACCGCUUGGGGAUAGAAGGUGCUGUAA